GACGUAGGGGGCAAACGUUGCUCGGAAUUACUGGGCGUAAAGGGUGUGUAGGUGGCUGAGUAAGUCAAAGAUGAAAUCCCAAGGCUCAACCUUGGAAUUGUUUUUGAAACUGUUCAGCUUGAGGAUAGUUGAGGAGGAUGGAAUUCCCGGUGGAGCGGUGAAAUGCGUAGAUAUCGGGAGGAACACCAGAGGCGAAGGCGAUUCUCUGAACUAUUCCUGACACUGAGACACGAAAGCUAGGGGAGCAAACGGGAUUAGAUACCCCCGUA
rnacentral:rRNA from 1 species